UCAACAAAUAUUUUUUUUUUUAAAUUUGAACUCCAUACAAAGUCUUAAUCCGGGGUCCACAAGUAAGAGAAAGGUAUUUUUUACUCAGACAAUAUAGCCAGACAGACUUGAAUGCUAAUUGGUGUUAAGAUGUCUGUAGUUAAAAUAAAGUUGGGCCCAAUAAACUGGUAGAUCAAAGGCCUGUUGAGCGCUCAUGCCCGGUGUGAUUUUAACAAUUGACUCCAAAUGCGUUGACUAGAAAAUAAGUAAAACUGUUAUUGAAUGUGAUUGGUUGAUAAAAUCAACGUACUAUAGGCUACAUUUUGUCUGCGAUAUCAUCUCGGUGGAAGCGGACAUUAAAUGAAGUGAUUUCACACAAUUAAUUUAACAUUUAACAACGUGCUGAAAUGAUUUUGGAGCAGUGAUAUGUUUGACAAAUGUAAGCUAAUGGUCACAUAGAAUACAAGACCGCAGAAUCACAUUAUGAUUAAAGCAGAAACGGCUCGACUUGAACCAGCAGACGGAAGAUAUGGACGAACAACAAGAAGAAGUUAUGGAGGUCCCAACAACUGAAACUAAGGAAGUAGAAGAAUCGUUUACAGCCGAAACCCGAUACGAUGUGCCAGUUCCGGUCAUGGAGUCCUCCAUCUCAGACGAUGCCGACGUUAGUGUCUUCUGCGACGAAGAACCCGUAGUGGUGUAUACGCAGGUAGAAGCUGGUUCCUCCCGUGGCAAGUCCAAGUUGUUUGACAACCAAGGGUUUAGUUAUACAAUUAAGGAAAGACAGAGAAGAAAACUACGAUUUGGAGGUGUUCCAAAAGAAGCGGACCAACACGAUGUCCGGCAACAGUAAUCCAAGAUGGUGAUACAUACCAACCAGGCUUAAAGAACCAUCUUCACCCAGCAGAACCCGGUAUACACACGGCACCAAGAUAAAAGUUACAGCAAAGCAUGAAGCCAAAGGAAAUGUUUUUACCAAGUCAUGUUCCUCAAUAGCGGAGAGAGUUUUAUCCAGUGUCGGUUCUGCAGAAGAACCCAUUCAUAGCAGACCACCCAUGGCAGCACUUGUAAGGUCGCUACAAAGAACCCGACAGACUCUGCGACCAAAAGAUCCCACUGACGUGUUGUCAAGCUCAAUGAUGAUAUGUGACUCUUUCCACCUUCCAGCAAUAAUUAUUGAGAAUUUACCAAGGACUCCAUUGGCAUUGAAUCGAAGAAAAACAGUUAAAAAUUUCAAUUAAUUUUUAUAUUUUCUAUUUUUUUUUUUACCAAUGUCCUACAAUGAUUAGUGUAUGUGAACAUACAAUCCAAAAUAAAGUAUUUAUAUGGCACUUACAUGCAACAGAGAGAGAGAGAGAAAUGACAUAAACAAGGCCUUACAUGUACUUGUAUUUGAAGAAUCAAGUAGUCCAUGUUGUGCCUAUAUGCAUACCGGUAAUUAACUACGACGAGGAUUAGCCUACUUCCGUUUCCACCCUUUCCCUGCACACUGUCUCAUUCUACAUGUAUUAAAAAUUGGUAUGUUACUGUAAUAUUAAUUAUGCACGAACCUACAUGUAGAGUUGUUGCAAGAUGGGUCCUUAUAUCUACUUAGCCUACAGACGCUAGGUCGUUUCGGGAAAAAGGACAGUUUCAAUAUUGGAUGUAUAUGCAAAUCACCCAGAAAAAGAUCAUGUAAUAACAAAAGAAAUUAUAAAAGAAAAAAAUGGAAGAAGAAAUGGCUGGAAAAAAUGAUGAUAGAGCAGCUUUUUCUUGUUACCCACCUCGGAAGAUCAAGUUGGAAAGGGCUAUUGAUAUUGUGGAGACGUUUUCUCACAGAUCUUGCUUAUCAGACAAAGACUAUGCUGGAACACCAUUGAAAGAGUAUUUGCUGUAUGAUAACAACAAGAAAACCCAAGCAUCAAUUUAUUUUAUACUUCUGGGAAAGAAUGCAUUUGACCCAAUUUUUAAAUAUUUAUUUUUUGUUUUUAAUGUUAAAUUUUCUUCCAAAACACAAUUAGAUUUUAAUUCUCUUCAGAAAUGUAUGUAUAAUAUAGCAAGUAAAGUGACAUAUAUAUCACUUAGAAUUUGGUCAGAAAUCAUAAAGUAUUUAAUAGGCAUUACUAGAAACCAAAUGUAGAUCAAAUACACCCAGAAUUACAAAAAACCUUGACCUACAUAAAGGUGACUUUCCCUUGCUUAUGAAAUGAAAUACGGUUUAGUAUCCUACUUUUCUGUGUUCUUAGAGUGAUUCUGCCAUACACCCUAAUCUUAUAUCAAAUAUUUCAACUGUCAAGGGUUCUUUAACGGGAACCCGGGGGGGGGGGGCAAUGAUUAACACGCACACAUUUGAUCAGGAAGUCUGUCAUUGAGUCAAAUAAUUCAAUUGUCAAGGGUUCUUCUAAGUGAACGCAGUGGGGAUGGUUUCGAUUCCGGGAAUGGGGGAGGGGGUGGUGGAUGGCCGAAUGGUAAGUACGUGCGUGCGGUAUCAUACGGCCUGUCAUUGGGUCAACUGGCGUGGUUUCGAAUCCCCGGUUGUACGUGACAAGGAGUAGGGUCGCCUGUCCAAUCUUGUGGGUUUUCUCCGGGACCUCCGGUUUCCUCCCACUGCUAAAGACCCCUAUGCACAACGAAUUAUUGAAAUAAAAUUAAACCAUAUGUUAAUCCCGAAAUGACCUAGUUUGUGUCAAGUGGACGUUAAACCCCAUCUCUCUCUCUCUCUCUUUCGAUUCCGGGCUUGUACCCAAUUAUCCCUUGCCAUAUCCAACACUACUGACAAGUGGGAACUAUGCCGGAAAAUCCAGUUGAAAUUUCUCGGCCAACACCUUAUACUCACUGAACCACUGUGGCUUAUGACUUGUGAUUGUAUAUAAAUUUUUUGUACAUAUGAUAUUUUUUUAUUUCAAUCCUGUAAUCUUGAUGUUUUACAUCAUUUUAUUACUCCUGCAAAAUAGUGCAUUUUUCAUUUGUUAGUUUUCUGUGUAUAUUAGUUAUUUCUAUAUGUCUCACAAAUCACUUGUAGUGUGAUUUUGUAGCACUUUUCAGUUUUUGAAAUUGUUUCAAUUUAGUGCAUAAUUAAUCUUAGUGCUUGGUUUGGAUGUUAUUAAAUUUAGAUAUUAUUUGAAUUAUAUAUUUUGGAGUAUGGGGUAGGGAUACUGUGUACAUAUCUUUAUAUUCUCAGUUCUUGUUUUGGGGUAAAGAACAAUUUAUAUAGCUAUUUUAUAUUUUGUGAUAGGUAAAGUGUGUGGGGUUAAGAACAAUUUAAAUAGCUAUGUUAUAUUUUGUGAUGGGUAAAGUGGGGUGUGUGUGUGUGUGUGUGUGUGUGUGUGGGGGGGGGGGGGGGUCAUUAU